AAGGAAAAGUGUGAAAAUUCAAGGAAACAAGUGAAAAAGGUGGUGAAUCCUCCGCUAAGGGCAAAGAAAUUGUACCCGAGGAUCGGUAGUCAAAGUACUCUAGAAAUUCGACUCCUGAAAUACUUGCUGCAGUGGGCGGGUUCUGUGGACCAGCCUAUUAGAGAGGCAUGGAAUCCAAUUACAUAUGUACCUCGGUCAGAGAGGCGCGUAGGGUAUCUCCUGAGGUAUGGUUAGAGUUCAUGUCACGCCGAACCACCUCGUGAUGAUGAAC